rnacentral:rRNA from 1 species
GAUGAACGCUGGCGGCGUGCCUAAUACAUGCAAGUCGAGCGAACGGACGAGAAGCUUGCUUCUCUGAUGUUAGCGGCGGACGGGUGAGUAACACGUGGAUAACCUACCUAUAAGACUUGGAUAACUUCGGGAAACCGGAGCUAAUACCGGAUAAUAUUUUGAACCGCAUGGUUCAAAAGAGAAAGACGGUGUUGCUGUCACUUCUAGAUGGAUCCGCGCUGCAUUAGCUAGUUGGUAAGGUAACGGCUUACCAAGGCAACGAUGCAUAGCCGACCUGAGAGGGUGGUCGGCGACACUGGAACUGAGACACGGUCCAGAGGCCUGCGGGAGGCAGCAGUAGGGAAUGUUACGCAGUGGGCGAAAGCCUGGCGGAGCGACGGCGAGUGAGUGAUGAAGGUCUUCGGAUCGUGAAGAUCUGUUAUUAGGGAAGAACAUAUGUGUAAGUAACUGUGCACAUCUUGACGGUACCUAAUCAGAAAGCCACGGCUAACUACGUG